GCACUGCUGAGGAGUCCCGCGAUAGGACGAAACGGCCGUCUGGUGC
rnacentral:hammerhead_ribozyme from 1 species